UCUGGUAAAGAUAUAUAGUGGGGGUGGGGGUUAUCUGUAAACAUAGAGUGUCUUGUCUGGGAUGACUUGAAGGGGUAUAAAGGCUGGACAACAGCCAGAGGAUG